CCUCAAUUUGUCUUUGUGAUAAUGUUAGUCUUAUUUCAGUUUUUUGGUGUUACUCCACACCCAGCCACUAGGGGGCGACUGUUGCGUUGGUUACAUAGAAAAGGCUUAUGGGCACACGCAGAAGAAUAAACCUUCCUGUUAAACGCUAACGGAAGCUCAACAUGUAUGCCUCAUCUUUUCUGUCACAGCAGUGCAUCAAUCCUGCCGGUGGAUGUCACCGAGGCGGAGGCGACUCUGCCCCCUGAUUGGCUGCCAUUCACAAGUUACAGAUAAAGGGGGAUGAGAAGAACCAGAGCGCCGACUGACGUCUAAUCUUCCCUCAAUGACGAAGGAAUGAAGGAGAGAGAGGCCAGAACUUGUAAAUCAGAGUAAGAAGGAGAAGAAGCCUUUGCUGUGUUUCGCUGCAGUAAAUGUUCGACACCCAGCUGAUUUGACGUCAACCGUGUGGCACUUCAGUUCAGUGAUGUUGCAUUUCUUUUCUCGUGACACUGAAAUGGAAGCAGCUUGAGCCCUAAAUAAAGAGGAGAAAAA